rnacentral:rRNA from 1 species
GACGAACGCUGGCGGCGUGCUUAACACAUGCAAGUCGAACGGAAAGGCCCUGCUUUUGUUGGGUUCUCGAGUGGCGAACGGGUGAGUAACACGUGAGUAACCUGCCCUUGACUUUGGGAUAACUUCAGGAGACUGGGGCUAAUACCGGAUAGGAGCUCCUGCUGCAUGGUGUUGGUUGGAAAGUUUCGGCGGUCGGGGAUGGACUCGCGGCUUAUCCGCUUGUUUGUGUGGUAGUGGCUUACCAAGGCUUUGACGGGUAGCCGGCCUGAGAGGGUGACCGGGCACCUUGGGACUGAGAUACGGACCAGACGGCUACGGGAGGCAGCAGUGGGGAAUAUUGCACAAUGGGCGGAAGCCUGAUGCAGCAACGCCGCGUGCGGGAUGACGGCCUUCGGGUUGUAAACCGCUGUCGCAUGUGACGAAGCGGGAGUGACGGUAAUGGGUCAAGAAGCAACGGCUAACUACGUG